rnacentral:rRNA from 1 species
CCUACGGGUGGCAGCAGUGGGGAAUAUUGCACAAUGGGGGAAACCCUGAUGCAGCAACGCCGCGUGAGUGAUGACGGAAUUCGUGAUGUAAAGCUCUGUCAUCAGGGACGAUAAUGACGGUACCUGAGUAGGAAGCCACGGCUAACUACGUGCCAGCAGCCGCGGUAAUACGUAGGUGGCGAGCGUUAUCCGGAUUUACUGGGUGUAAAGGGAGCGUAGACGGCAGUGUAAGUCUGGAGUGAAAUGCGGGGGCUCAACCAUAGUACUGCUCUGGAAACUGUACGGCUGGAGUGCAGGAGAGGAAAGUGGAAUUCCUAGUGUAGCGGUGAAAUGCGUAGAGAUUAGGAGGAACACCAGUGGCGAAGGCGGUUCACUGGACUGUAACUGACGUUGAGGCUCGAAAGCGUGGGGAGCAAACAGGAUUAGAUACCCGUGUAGUC